rnacentral:rRNA from 1 species
UACGGAGGAUGCAAGCGUUAUCCGGAAUCAUUGGGCGUAAAGCGUCCGCAGGCGGCUGUUCAAGUCUGCUGUCAAAGCGCAGAGCUUAACUCUGUACAGGCGGUGGAAACUGAAGAGCUAGAGUAUGGUAGGGGUAGAGGGAAUUCCCGGUGUAGCGGUGAAAUGCGUAGAUAUCGGGAAGAACACCAGUGGCGAAAGCGCUCUACUGGGCCAUAACUGACACUGAGGGACGGAAGCUAGGGGAGCGAAAGGG